UGUUCGACAAGUAAAGAUGCUGCC
rnacentral:piRNA from 1 species